rnacentral:sRNA from 1 species
UACGAUAUCCCAGGAAGAGGCGGGAAA